CAAAGAAGCCUCCGUUUGCUGUUCAGUUCCUUGCAGGCAUUGCGAAAGCCCCAGAUACUACCGUCCCACGCAGUCUACCCUCCUUCGCCCUUUUUAUUGGCUACACGGGGCCCCCAUGCUCUCAGAUACACGUCUUACAACUGCCGUAGAUUAGCCUCAGUCUCGUAAGAAGGCAGACUGAUAAAACCUUCUGGAAACCGACCAAGCAAGAGACGAGCGGUGGGGAGGGGGGACGGUGCAUCACUACCAUAGAGGUAUGUGAGGGGGUGGGGGGCUCCCCAAAAGUCUGCGUAUUCUGGCUGUUUAUCCAAGGUGGGGAGAGGCCAGGCACGAGAUGUCUCAAAACACGGAUCGCGGAACCGAUAGGGAUGCGGAAUUCCCCUCUCCACUGGAAUUUUUUAUUUUUUUUUAUUUUGUGGCGAAUCACAGCCAAGCUUGACUGAGACUGAGGCUUGUUUUUUUCCGUCGGCCAGGUCAGCCAGAGAUUUCAGAUUUUGGCAUGCGGUGCUUGACCUAAUUGUGCCAGCACCCUCCCCAGCGCCAGUCAAAUUUAGAGUAAUAACAGAUCCCCUCUGGGAAUAAGACGGAAAACCCAUCCGAGCGUGAGGGCUCGGGAUUUUAUACAUGCAUUAUGCUAAAGCAUCACACAAACACUCCUCCUGUGCCACCCAGCCCCUGGGGGCAGCAGAGAUGCAUCUGCACUCCUUCUCACAGAGCCCAAACCCGCUGGUUCGUGGAUAUGAUCUCGUUCUCCAGCUCCUGAAAGAGGGAGCAGGCGUGCUUGGCCAGGUCGGAGAGCUGCCGCAGGGUCCGGGAAAGUGACACAUUGUUGAUCGAGCUCAAAUCCUCAAAAAGCAAACCCUCGUCGUUGGGAAUCGCAUGCCUACACAGUAACUGGGGUUCCACGAUCCUUUUGGCAAAUGGCAUUUUGCGUGCAAACCCCUAAUCCCCCCGCCCCCAGAAAAAAAUAAAAUAA